rnacentral:rRNA from 1 species
UACAGAGGGUGCAAGCGUUGUUCGGAGUUACUGGGCGUAAAGGGCGCGUAGGCGGCGCACCAAGUCAGGCGUGAAAGCCCUGGGCUCAACCCGGGAAUUGCGCUUGAGACUGGUGUGCUUGAGUACGGGAGAGGAUAGUGGAAUUCCCAGUGUAGAGGUGAAAUUCGUAGAUAUUGGGAAGAACACCGGUGGCGAAGGCGGCUAUCUGGACCGUAACUGACGCUGAGGCGCGAAAGCGUGGGGAGCAAACAGG